rfam:Stegodyphus mimosarum contig13366, whole genome shotgun sequence.
GCCUUAGUGGUGUAAUGGUCAGAACACUCGGCGCGUAUUCGAGAGGUCCGAGGUUCGAGUCCCGGCGAGGGCA